CAGUAGCCGCGGUAAUACGUAGGGUGCAAGCGUUAAUCGGAAUUACUGGGCGUAAAGCGUGCGCAGGCGGUUUGUUAAGACAGAUGUGAAAUCCCCGGGCUCAACCUGGGAACUGCAUUUGUGACUGGCAAGCUAGAGUAUGGCAGAGGGGGGUGGAAUUCCGCGUGUAGCAGUGAAAUGCGUAGAUAUGCGGAGGAACACCGAUGGCGAAGGCAGCCCCCUGGGCCAAUACUGACGCUCAUGCACGAAAGCGUGGGGAGCAAACAGGAUUAGAUACCCGGGUAGUCCCUGUCUCUUAUAU
rnacentral:rRNA from 1 species